rnacentral:rRNA from 1 species
AUAGUGGUGAGAACCCCGUAACUGAUGCGGAUGCCCGGUGCUUUGUGAUAUACUUUCGAAGAGUCGAGUUGUUUGGGAAUGCAGCUCAAAUUGGGUGGUAAAUUCCAUCUAAAGCUAAAUAUUGGAGCAAGACCGAUAGCGAACAAGUACCGUGAGGGAAAGAUGAAAAGCACUUUGGAAAGAGAGUUAACAGUACGUGAAAUUGUUGGAAGGGAAACGCUUGAAGUCAGACUUGCUAUUCGGAGUUCAGCCGCAAGGUGUAUUCUUCGAUUUGCAGGCCAGCAUCAGUUUUUGGGGGUGGAAAAUCGUGGUUUGAAGGUAGCAGUUUCGGCUGUGUUAUAGCUUUCCACUGGAUUCAUCUUCGGGGACUGAGGAACGCAGUACGCUUUUUGCAAGGCUCUCGAGCUUUUCGUACUUAGGAUGCUGGUGGAAUGGCUUUAAACGACCCGUCUUGAAACACGGACCAAGGAGUCUAACAUGCUUGCGAGUGUUUGGGUGUCAAACCCGGACGCGCAAUGAAAGUGAAUGGAGGUGGGAUCCGCAAGGUGCACCAUCGACCGAUCUGGAUUUUCUAAGAUGGAUUUGAGUAAGAGCAAUUAUGUUGGGACCCGAAAGAUGGUGAACUAUGCCUGAAUAGGGCGAAGCCAGAGGAAACUCUGGUGGAGGCUCGUAGCGGUUCUGACGUGCAAAUCGAUCGUCAAAUUUGGGUAUAGGGGCGAAAGACUAAUCGAACCAUCUAGUAGCUGGUUCCUGCCGAAGUUUCCCUCAGGAUAGCAGAAA